rnacentral:rRNA from 1 species
UUGAACGCUGGCGGCAUGCUUUACACAUGCAAGUCGAACGGUAACAGGCCUUCGGGUGCUGACGAGUGGCGAACGGGUGAGUAAUGCAUCGGAACGUACCCAGAGGUGGGGGAUAACGCAGCGAAAGCUGUGCUAAUACCGCAUGUGAUCUGAGGAUGAAAGCGGGGGACCGAGCAGCAAUGUUUGGCCUCGCGCCUUUGGAGCGGCCGAUGUCGGAUUAGCUAGUUGGUGGGGUAAAGGCCUACCAAGGCGACGAUCCGUAGCUGGUCUGAGAGGACGACCAGCCACACUGGGACUGAGACACGGCCCAGACUCCUACGGGAGGCAGCAAUGGGGAAUUUUGGACAAUGGGCGCAAGCCUGAUCCAGCAAUGCCGCGUGCGGGAAGAAGGCCUUCGGGUUGUAAACCGCUUUUGGCAGGAACGAAACGGUGUCCGCUAAUACCGGGCGCUAAUGACGGUACCUGCAGAAUAAGCACCGGCUAACUACGUG